UUGGAGGGCAGUCUGGUGCCAGCAGCCGCGGUAAUUCCAGCUCCAAUAGCGUAUAUUAAAGUUGUUGCAGUUAAAAAGCUCGUAGUUGAAUUUCGGGAUCAGAUUGUCGGUCGUGCCUCGGUACGCACUGGUAUUAUUGGUUCCUACCUUCUGAAGAACCGCGAUGUCGUUAAUUUGGUGUCGUGGGGAAUCAGGACUGUUACUUUGAAAAAAUUAGAGUGUUUAAAGCAGGCUUACGCUUGAAUACAUUAGCAUGGAAUAAUGAAAUAGGACGUUUGAUUCUAUUUUGUUGGUUUCUAGGAUUGACGUAAUGAUUAAUAGGGAUAGUUGGGGGCAUUAGUAUUCAAUUGUCAGAGGUGAAAUUCUUGGAUUUAUUGAAGACUAACUACUGCGAAAGCAUUUGCCAAGGAUGUUUUCAUUAAUCAAGAACGAAAGUUAGGGGAUCGAAGACGAUCAGAUACCGUCGUAGUCUUAACCAUAAACUAUGCCGACUAGGGAUCGGAUGAUGUUAACUUUUUAAUGACUCAUUCGGCGCCUUACGGGAAAC
rnacentral:rRNA from 1 species